rnacentral:rRNA from 1 species
AGCGGCGGACGGGUGAGUAACGCGUGGGAAUGUACCCUUCUCUAAGGAAUAGCCACUGGAAACGGUGAGUAAUACCUUAUACGCCCUUCGGGGGAAAGAUUUAUCGGAGAAGGAUCAGCCCGCGUUGGAUUAGAUAGUUGGUGGGGUAAUGGCCUACCAAGUCUACGAUCCAUAGCUGGUUUGAGAGGAUGAUCAGCCACACUGGGACUGAGACACGGCCCAGACUCCUACGGGAGGCAGCAGUGGGGAAUCUUAGACAAUGGGGGAAACCCUGAUCUAGCCAUGCCGCGUGAGUGAUGAAGGCCUUAGGGUCGUAAAGCUCUUUCGCCAGGGAUGAUAAUGACAGUACCUGGUAAAGAAACCCCGGCUAACUCCGUGCCAGCAGCCGCGGUAAUACGGAGGGGGUUAGCGUUGUUCGGAAUUACUGGGCGUAAAGCGCACGUAGGCGGACUAGUCAGUCAGAGGUGAAAUCCCAGGGCUCAACCCCGGAACUGCCUUUGAUACUGCUAGUCUUGAGUUCGAGAGAGGUGAGAGGAAUUCCGAGUGUAGAGGUGAAAUUCGUAGAUAUUCGGAGGAACACCAGUGGCGAAGGCGGCUCACUGGCUCGAUACUGACGCUGAGGUGCGAAAGUGUGGGGAGCAAACAGGAUUAGAUACCCUGGUAGUCCACACCGUAAACGAUGAAUGCCAGUCGUCGGGCA